UACGAAGGGUGCAAACGUUGCUCGGAAUUAUUGGGCGUAAAGCGCACGUAGGCGGCCAACUAAGUCGGAUGUGAAAUCCCCAGGCUUAACCUGGGAAUUGCAUCCGAUACUGGAUGGCUUGAAUCCGGGAGAGGGAUGCGGAAUUCCAGGUGUAGCGGUGAAAUGCGUAGAUAUCUGGAGGAACACCGGUGGCGAAGGCGGCAUCCUGGACCGGCAUUGACGCUGAGGAGCGAAAGCCAGGGGAGCAAACGGG
rnacentral:rRNA from 1 species